CCUACGGGAGGCAGCAGUGGGGAAUUUUGGACAAUGGGCGCAAGCCUGAUCCAGCAAUGCCGCGUGAGUGAAGAAGGCCUUCGGGUUGUAAAGCUCUUUCAGUUGAGAAGAAAAGAUUGUGACUAAUAAUUGCAAUUCAUGACGGUAUCAAC
rnacentral:rRNA from 1 species